rnacentral:lncRNA from 1 species
CUGACUCGUAAGCAGAAUACAGAAGAGAAGACACAACUGAACAUCUGUGGCUAUUGACAUGCAUUUGCUUUAUUCAGUGAAAGUAGUUAGGUUGUUUUUAAGCAAUUUUAUCUUCCUAGAGUCUAUCGAAUAUUGAGUGAGUGUAUAGAUGAACUUACUAAUUUGUUUCUUGUUUUGAUUAUCAGUGAAGAUACAUUUAUGCUUGAGGUAUCUUAUGUGGGGAUGUGAUAAGCGUCUUUGAGCCUUUCAGAUUGUGACUCUUGGUGAUUUUAGAUGAAGAUCGUUGAGGACUGUCGUGGUAUGCAAUAAUUAGUGGUAGAAAAUAUGAUAUUGUCCAUAUAUGUAAUGAGUGGAGGGGAUCAAUGUAUCAUUUUUUAAAGAAGUCUUUUAUUAAGAACCUCAGCUGUAAUGAUAUUUUCAUGUUAU